rnacentral:rRNA from 1 species
AGAGAGAGACAUGCGCGCAUAUCAAUAAGCGGAGGAAAAGAAACUAACUAAGGAUUCCCUCAGUAACGGCGAGUGAAGCGGGAAGAGCUCAAAUUUGAAAUCUUCAAGGUUCUACCUUGACGAAUUGUAGUUUAAAGAAGUGUUUUCUGUUGAAGUUUUGGUAAAAGUUCUUUGGAAUAGGACAUCAUAGAGGGUGAGAAUCCCGUAUUUGACCAUUAUUUUCAGCUUUGUGAUACACUUUCAAAGAGUCGGAUUGUUUGGGAAUGCAGUCCAAAAUGGGUGGUAAAUUUCAUCUAAAGCUAAAUAUUGGCGAGAGACCGAUAGCGAACAAGUACCGUGAGGGAAAGAUGAAAAGAACUUUGAAAAGAGAGUUAAACAGUACGUGAAAUUGUCAAAAGGGAAGCGUUUGACACCAGCGUUGUUUUCUCGAAAAUCAAUUAAAAAAGGCAGGAUUUUGUGUUGUAUUGACUUUAUCAGCUUUCUGCACUCUUUUCUUGUCUUUUUUUAAUGCACUUUUCGUUUAACAAGUCAACAUCAAUUUCUUUUGUUGUAAAAGGGUCAUUGGAAGGUGGCUUUCUUUUCGGAGAAAGUGUUUACAGCCUUUGGCCUCUGCAAUCGGAGAGAUUGAGGUCUGCAGCGUAGAUCCUUCGGGGUUAGAUACAUUUGUGCUAAGUUAUAGCCUUUCAUAGACAACUUGUUGACUAUGAUCAGUCAUGUAGCUUACUCGCUUAUGCUAUUUUACCUACGCUUAGGAUGUUGAAGAUGUAGCACAUCAU